rnacentral:lncRNA from 1 species
CAAAAUUUUAACAGCCUUGGCGGACUCGGUUAGAUGCCCUGCGCAAGGUAUCACUGAGUAUGAGUUUUGGCACGAGCCAAAGUUUUAAGAAAUUCAUAAGCCAAGUUGAUUACUCGAUUUUUUAUGGAUUGAUUUUAUUUGGUUGAAAUGAGUUGAAAGGUAAUGAAAUUACAGUAUGAUGAUUUAUUUUAAUUGUCUCAAUUUACUCGACUUUAGAUAGUUUAGAUGGUAUCUGUUUACUCACUAGGAUUUUAUAAUCUCACCACCCUCAUUUUCUCACAUUUCAGGCUCGAGGAAUUCCAUAAUUAGCUGACUUUGAUAAGGACCUUCAUUUGGACUCGAAUCGGUAAAAGCUGUAGGUUUCCAGCUUUCGAUGCAUUUUGGAUAGAUGUGGGCCCACGUGUUACUGUAAAAGAAAUUUUAUGCUUUGGUUAUUUGUUUUAUAGGAUAUAUGAAUAUAAUUAUCUUUUACGCUAUAAGAAUUAUGUACCGAUAGUUUUAUAAAAAUUAUUUUACAAGAAAAUAGUUUAUUUUAUUGAAUAUUUUUAUUAUAUUCAAAUGGUCAAAUUUUCACUUCAAAUGAACAUUUUAGAUACUUAAUUUGUUUUUAAA